AUGUUUGGGUAUGGUUCUUCGUUAUUUGAUGUUAGGGUUUGUGGGAUUAUACCAGAUUUUGACUUUCUUUUUCAAAAGUUUAAACAGGGUUCUUCUUUAUAUGAUGUUAGGUUUUGUGGGUGUUUCUUGAAUAUUAGAUAGAAAUAUAUGAGAAGGUUCGGAUUCCAUUUUGAUCUCGUCGUCAUCAAUCACGCAAUGAUUCCAGGGCUGAUUAAUUGAUUGAUCGUUUACUUUUCAUUUGUUGAAUUUCCAGAUAAAAAAGGUUACUAUUGCUUAUAACAAAGGUUUAGACCCAUCAAAGUUGAACUUCGGUUCAGGUGCUUAUAGACAUGAGGAAGGGAAACCUCUGGUUCUCAAUGUUGUAGAGAGGCAGAACAAGAGCUUUUCGAUGACCUAAAAGAACGGAUGAUACUGACGGUCAGCGAUUCCUUACCCAACUAUUCCAACAGAGAUUUAAGGCCACCGGUCUCCUCAAAACAUCGUGUGAAUAAUAGCAACAAAGGUGUUUAAUAUGCAUAUUGGUGAAGCAUUUGAGGCUAAUCAUCUCGACUAUACAGUUCCUAGGUGAGCUCUAGCGGGUUAGUCUGGUUUGAUUUAUGACAUUGCUUGUCGGUGUGUGAAGAAAGGUCGUGAAGAGCGGCCGCCGAUGGCUGAGAUUGUAAAAGAACUUGAGUUUUCACUCAAGCAACGAGAGAUGCGACUGGAUUUUCCAAAACACUUUAUUUAAAUGACGUUUUGCUCCAAGUGAGGCAUCAGAUGAUUCAUUCAUUUGCAAGUUUAAAAACUAGCAGAAGAGUGAUUUUCUUGGCUGUGGUGUGUUUUGCAAUGUUUACAAAGGUUAUAACAAAUCUGGGUUUGUUUUCACUUUUCAUUGUGAAUGAGUUUCCUUUGAUUGACCAAGGAAGCAAGGGAAGACAGACUAUUAUUCAACUUUAACAGGGCUUACCUGUUUAAACAUACUCAAAGGGAGCUCCACCAGAAGACGUCACCAUCAAUUGAGUAAUGUUCUCUUUGGCUUUACAAAUAAAAGUACGAUGCCGAGAACAGUCUCUUUUGUAACCUUGAACAAGGUUGGUGGAUUUCUACAAUCUAUGGAUCUUGCACACUUUAUGCUUUUGGAAAGAUGUUGGUCAUUGGAAACGAGCCAUUAUUCAAGGUUUAAUGACAUAUUGAAUAGGAUCUACCUUUUUUAACUUUUGUCGGUCUUUGUUUUCCCCAUGACAUUCGAUUUUCACCUAAAUAAAUGUAUAAACAAAUAUUGUGUGUAUAU
rnacentral:lncRNA from 1 species